rfam:Synechococcus sp. PCC 6312, complete genome.
CUUGGUGCUCAUGGCGUAAUGGAACCACGCUGAUCCAUCUCGAACUCAGUUGUGAAACGUUACUGCGACGAAGAUAGUUGGUGGGUAGCUGCCUGCAAAAAUAGUUCAGUGCCAAGA